CAUCUUCUUCCCCUGAUCCCUAACGCCCUCCCCCUUCUCCCAACUCUUUCCUCUUCCCCCAUCUCCGCCGCACUCCUUUUCCCUCCUCGCGCCACCACCCGAAGUGCAAAUCAGCACUAGCCGAUCGCCGACCACGUUUCCCUUCUCUUCAUCUCAUCGUCGACACAAAAAACUCACGGAGCAUCCCGAUUCCUUCUUCAUUCGCCCGACCACAUCCUCUUCCCCCUUGCUCUUCUCUCCGCAUCGCUGUCGACUGCCACUGCUCGACCCCAACUGCCAGCCACCCGAGUGCCACAUGAUCUCCUCUCUCCUGAUUGUAGAUACCAUGUGCUCGUCGGAAGCCAAGCAUCUGAUUCCACGUCUUCGGCCGAGCCCUAGAUGUAGACCCCCAACCGACUGAGUGUGCUGGAUCUCUACUAGAAUUUGUUAAUCGCAUCAGAUCUCUGCUCGACAUCACAUCUUCGAUCUUAGGGUUGAUCUACUUGGGUUGACCUCUUCCUCCUCCACUCCACAUCGUUGCUUGAUUUCGUCAGAUCCCUACUUGGUGUCACCAUAUGAUCACAUCAUGUUCCGAUUAGCCGUUGUCGAUUGAUUGUGCCAGCGCCACAUGGUUGUCAUUCUCUUCUUUGCCUUGGCUUGACACCACAGCAGCCACCGCCAAUCUCGUGGCCCUGAUUUUGUGUCACCACCGAAGCUCCUACAUCCUCCAUUCCACGGGUGACACAGAUUGCUUCCUAGCUACCAGAAAUGGGUUCUCCACAUGAAUUGAAUCUAUUGGCACAGGGUGCUAGAUUUGGAGACUAUCGAAUAUUCUAGCUUUGGGCAUAUUUUUCUAGCAGUGGUUGCUCCAUCGGCAAGUUAACAGCGAAGUUCACGGAUAUAGGUCACAUUAUGGAUUUGGUUUGACGACCCUACACUUGUUUGUAUGGUUCACACCUUUAUGUUCAGAUAGGAGAUCCUGGUGAGUAUAGUUUCUCCUGUUAUUCAGUUUUGCAUUACCUAUUAUUGAUCAGGAAACUGUACUGCAUGAUUAUUACUGAUAGUUAUAUUUUACUAUGCA